AUGAUCACCAACACGAGGGGAUCAUAAGUAUAGGAAUCACGUCGAGACGGGCGCAAGCAUGAGAUGUUAACGGGUCAAUAAGAGGCAAGGAAUCGGAUGCGAGCACGGACGCAUAAGGUUGUACGAAUCACGGAUUAACCUCACAAGGAGUAGCGAUCGAAGACCGAGUCACAAGAUAGAUUGUACGGGAAUGUUUACAUAUGUAACUUAGUGAUGAUAAGUU